rnacentral:rRNA from 1 species
AUUGAACGCUGGCGGCAGGCCUAACACAUGCAAGUCGAGCGGAUGAAGGGAGCUUGCUCCUGGAUUCAGCGGCGGACGGGUGAGUAAUGCCUAGGAAUCUGCCUGGUAGUGGGGGAUAACGUCCGGAAACGGGCGCUAAUACCGCAUACGUCCUGAGGGAGAAAGUGGGGGAUCUUCGGACCUCACGCUAUCAGAUGAGCCUACGUCGGAUUAGCUAGUUGGUGGGGUAAAGGCCUACCGGGGCGCCGAUCCGUAACUGGUCUGAGAGGAUGAUCAGUCACACUGGAAGUGAGACGCGGUGCAGGCUCGUACGGGAGGCAGGAGUGGGGAAUGUUGGGCAAUGGGCGAAAGGCUGAGCCAGCCAUGCCGUGGGUGUAAGAAGGUCUUCGGAUUGUAAAGCGCCUUAAGUUGGGAGGAAGGGCAGUAAGUUAAUACCUUGCUGUUUUGACGUUACCAACAGAAUAAGCACCGGCUAACUUCGUG